rnacentral:rRNA from 1 species
CAGCCUGCCCAGUGACAAAGUUCAACGGCCGCGGUACCCUAACCGUGCGAAGGUAGCAUAAUCACUUGUUCUUUAAAUGAGGACUUGUAUCAACGGCACUACGAGGGCUAUACUGUCUCCUUUUUCUAAUCAGUGAAACUGAUCUCCCCGUGAAGAAGCGGGGAUCAAAAUAUAAGACGAGAAGACCCCAUGGAGCUUUAAACUCACUAUACACCUCUGUGCCUCGAUGCCAUAAAACACAAGAGAUCUGUGUACUAGUUUUAGGUUGGGGGGACCACGGAGUACAAUUUAACCUCCAUAACAAAUGGGCUAACACCCUUAUCCACGAGACACAACUCUAAGAAUUACUAAACUAAUGCUUACGACCCGAUAUUCGAUCAAUGAACCAAGUUACCCUGGGGAUAACAGCGCAAUCUACUUCAAGAGUCCAUAUCGACAAGUAGGUUUACGACCUCGAUGUUGGAUCAGGGUAUCCCAGUGGUGCAGCCGCUACUGACGGUUCGUUUGUUCAACGAUUAAAACCCUACGUGAUCUGACAUGGUCUAGCCAGUCCCCCCGAGCAAAAUGUAAUUUUCAGUUUGACACCCCGAAACCAAGCGAGCUACUUCAGAACAGCCUAAAGGGCCAACCCGUCUCUGUUGCAAAAGAGUGGGAAGAUUCUCAAGUAGAGGUGAUAAGCCUACCGAGCCUGGAGAUAGCUGGUUGUUUAGAAAAAGAGUCUAAGCUCUACCUUAAGUUUCUUUAUUAGACUAAACAAACCCUAAAACUUAAGAGCUAUUCAAAUAAGGCACAGCUUAUUUGAAACAGGACACAACCUACAACAUAGGGUAAACAAGAGUGCCUCAAACAAAGUGGGCCUAAAAGCAGCCACCUUUAAAAAAGCGUUAAAGCUUACCUACCCCUUACUCACAAURCCAUAAAUCUCAAUUAACCCCUCACCACUACUAAACAAUUUUAUAUUAAUAUAAAAGCUAUUAUGCUAGAACUAGUAACAAGAAAUUGCCUUUCUCCUAAAUGUAAAUAUACACCAAGAUAGACCAUCUAUUGGUUAUUAACGUAAAUGCUAAUUUAUAACAACCCUCGCUAGAAAAUCCUAUAAACCCCGACGUUAACCUUACACCAGAACAUUCCAGGAAAGAUUUAAAGAAAAAGAAGGAACUCGGCG